AGCGAACGCUGGCGGCAGGCCUAACACAUGCAAGUCGAGCGCACCCUUCGGGGCGAGCAGCGGACGGGUUAGUAACGCGUGGGAAUGUACCCUUUUCUACGGAAUAGCCAUUGGAAACGAUGAGUAAUACCGUAUACGCCCUUUGGGGGAAAGAUUUAUCGGAGAAGGAUCAGCCCGCGUUAGAUUAGAUAGUUGGUGGGGUAAUGGCCUACCAAGUCUACGAUCUAUAGCUGGUUUUAGAGGAUGAUCAGCAACACUGGGACUGAGACACGGCCCAGACUCCUACGGGAGGCAGCAGUGGGGAAUCUUAGACAAUGGGCGCAAGCCUGAUCUAGCCAUGCCGCGUGAGUGAAGAAGGCCUUAGGGUCGUAAAGCUCUUUCGCCAGGGAUGAUAAUGACAGUACCUGGUAAAGAGACCCCGGCUAACUCCGUGCCAGCAGCCGCGGUAAUACGGAGGGGGUUAGCGUUGUUCGGAAUUACUGGGCGUAAAGCGCACGUAGGCGGAUUAGAAAGUAUGGGGUGAAAUCCCAGGGCUCAACCCUGGAACUGCCUCAUAAACUCCUAAUCUAGAGUUCGAGAGAGGUGAGUGGAAUUCCGAGUGUAGAGGUAAAAUUCAUA
rnacentral:rRNA from 1 species